rnacentral:sRNA from 1 species
AUGAAGAAGAAGAAGAAGAAGCAGCGAAAUC